rnacentral:ncRNA from 2 species
AACAAAUCAACGACGCGGAGUAAGUACCGUCAACACUGCCGACAAAGCGAGUCAGGAAAGGUGAGAGCCUGACGCGGUAAGCUGAUUAGGGAAUGGACCGCUGAGAGCCUGUUGAACGAUUGCAGUAGACAGGACGGUUGCCCCCGUUACAAGGCUAGCUGGUUGUUGGACCAGCGACAAGAGGAGAUUUUUAAUCUCAACUAGAGGUGGCACCGCGCGGAUACAGGCGUCCUCUAU